AGGGGAUGGACAUUGACUCUGGAACUUUAGAAGUUUCUAGUAUCUCCAGAGAAGAUCAUCUGUUUCUGGAUUUCUGCAUGUCAUCAGUAACAGACAUUAGGACCACACUUCUGCAUCUGUUGGUAGCUUUGAAGUCAAGGUGGGGAAUAAAUGAAACAAGUGAGGAAAUGAGACAGACAGUGGUAACAGCUAAGAGCCUUUUGAAACAAUUCAAGUUAGUAUAUGUUGUGCCCAAGAUUACGUAUCCGAGAAACUACCAAGGAGCCGGUUUGUGUUUUGCACAGAGCCUUCCCUAUGAUGAUUACACAUCAUUCAACUAGUAUUUAAUUGAGACUUUAAGGACCGAUCUACUCAUGAGCCCUCUUUCUCUCCUUCUUCUUCUUACCCUCCUUCCCACACCAUCCUUGCUAGAGAUGAACAAUAGAAGCUUCAGUUACUUCUGGAAGCCACCUUAACACACGAGAAGAAACAGCCACAGGAUAAUGGACCUGAGAUGAGAAAAGAGCAACAGAAACUCGGUAGUUCUUGGUCCUUAUGAAGUCCUUGGUCCUUAUAUUCCACCGUUUUGGAAUAUAGGACACUUCUGCACAGACUGCUCCUGGCCCUUACUUCCUUACUCUUUCUUCAUCUCUUCUCCGUUCUCCAUCUGUUUCUCCUCCCCAUCUGUAUCUUGUUCCUGCUGUGGAAUAAAAACUAAUUCAUCCUUCAAAAUGCACCUGUAGUAUCAGUGUUUUAGUCUGUUCUGGCUCCUAUAACAAACGACCGCAGACUAGGUGGCUUAAGCAACAGAAAUUCACCUUCUCACAGU